AGCAGUGGGGAAUUUUGGACAAUGGGCGCAAGCCUGAUCCAGCAAUGCCGCGUGAGUGAAGAAAGCCUUCGGGUUGUAAAGCUCUUUUGUCAGGGAAGAAACGGUGAGAGCUAAUAUCUCUUGCUAAUGACGGUACCUGAAGAAUAAGCACCGGCUAACUACGUGCCAGCAGCCGCGGUAAUACGUAGGGUGCAAGCGUUAAUCGGAAUUACUGGGCGUAAAGCGUGCGCAGGCGGUUUUGUAAGUUUGUCGUGAAAGCCCCGGGCUCAACCUGGGAAUUGCGAUGAAUACUGCAAGGCUUGAAUCUGGCAGAGGGGGGUAGAAUUCCACGUGUAGCAGUGAAAUGCGUAGAGAUGUGGAGGAACACCGAUGGCGAAGGCUGCCCCCUGGUUCAUGAUUGACGCUCAUG
rnacentral:rRNA from 1 species